UGGGGAAUAUUGGGCAAUGGGCGAAAGCCUGACCCAGCAACGCCGCGUGAGGGAAGAAGGGUUUCGGCUCGUAAACCUCUGUCCUAUGGGACGAAGGAAGUGACGGUACCAUAGGAGGAAGCCCCGGCUAACUACGUGCCAGCAGCCGCGGUAAUACGUAGGGGGCGAGCGUUGUCCGGAAUGAUUGGGCGUAAAGGGCGCGUAGGCGGCCUGAUAAGUCUGGAGUGAAAGUCCUGCUUUCAAGGUGGGAAUUGCUUUGGAUACUGUCGGGCUGGAGUGCAGGAGAGGAAAGCGGAAUUACCGGUGUAGCGGUGAAAUGCGUAGAGAUCGGUAGGAACACCAGUGGCGAAGGCGGCUUUCUGGACUGAAACUGACGCUGAGGCGCGAAAGCGUGGGGAGCAAACAGG
rnacentral:rRNA from 1 species